rnacentral:rRNA from 1 species
UACAGAGGGUGCAAGCGUUAAUCGGAAUUACUGGGCGUAAAGCGUGCGUAGACGGUAGCGUAAGUCGGGUGUGAAAGCCCCGGGCUCAACCUGGGAAUGGCAUUCGAGACUGCUCUGCUAGGGUGCGGAAGAGGGGAGCGGAAUUUCCGGUGUAGCGGUGAAAUGCGUAGAUAUCGGAAGGAACACCAGUGGCGAAGGCGGCUUUCUGGUCUGCUCUGACGCUGAGGCGCGAAAGCUAGGGUAGCAAACGGGG